ensembl:lncRNA
GGGUUGCACCUCUUCCUGGAGUCUGCGGUCUGUAGUCCUACUCCGUCAGAUUGGGAUUCACCAAGCCUCCACAAUCAUGAGUUCCUAUCUGGAAAAAAAUUGGAAAUUCUGUAUGUUCAUUUCAAUGCCCUACAUUCCAGGGCCUUAUCUUCCUUGCAUCUAUUGACUUUAUACUACAUGUUAGAAAUGGUCUCUUGCCAAGUGCGUGAGGCACUCUGCCAGUGGCAAAGGUCAUGAGAAAGGAGGCUCAACGUACGCAAAGGCGGGAUCGAGCCUCAGGAGUCCCCCUGGAAAUCCUCGAGCAUCUACCCCCAUAACCAGAGCCUGCCUACUUUACUACUUUGUGCUCUCACCUACACCUCUGACUUUACGGGGGGCUGUCCCCCACCACCUCUUUCGGAGAAGGCGUUAACUUAGAGCUCCAGUGAUUUUGGAGUCCCCCAAAAUAAAGUCUCUCACUGUCUCCACUGUUUCCCCAUCUAUUUCCCAUGAAGUGGUGGGACCGGAUGCCAUGAUC